rnacentral:rRNA from 1 species
AUUGAACGCUGGCGGCAGGCCUAACACAUGCAAGUCGAACGAGUGGCGGACGGGUGAGUAAUGUCUGGGAAACCGCCUGAUGGAGGGGGAUAACUACUGGAAACGGUAGCUAAUACCGCAUACUAUCGUAUGUGCCCAGCUCGGAUUAGCUUGUAGGUGAGGUAACGGCUCACCAAGGCGACGAUCCAUAGCUGGUCUGAGAGGAUGAUCAGCGACACUGGAACGUAGAAACGGUCCAGAAGCCUACGGGAGGCAGGAGUGGGGAAGAUUGCACAAUGGGAGAAAGCCUGAUGCAGACAUGCCGCGGGUAUGAAGAAGGCCUUCGGGUUGUAAAGUACUUUGGGCGGGGAGGCGGUACCCGAAGAAGAAGCACCGGCUAACUCCGUGCCAGCAGCCGCGGUAAUUC